rnacentral:rRNA from 1 species
AUGCUCCACUCGUGGAGAAAUCUGGACCAUGUUCCCCGAUCUGCUUAUCAAUCCUGGAUCAUGGCCCAGAACAUCAUGGGAGUAAAAGACAAGAAGAAAUGGGGUAAACCGAAUUGGCUCUGCCACAUCACCGAAGAGAUAAGUAGAGAAGCAAAGAGGUGGGGAACCAAGGAGGUCCUUGUUAGACAUCCCGCCGACAAUGUAAGAUCGACCUUCAUCUUUAAGAACAGCAGCCAUCGGGAUGGUGCUAUAUACAAGAGAAGCUUUGCUCUUCGAAAAUUAUGUCGUGUUACUGACCGUGAUGAGAUGCGGGAUUAUGUGGACUCAUUGCUUAAUUAUAUUGUCAAACGUAGCAGGGAUGACCCCAUUAUUGCGCAACAGGGUUCUCUCAUUGAGAUGACUGGCCCUAAGCGAGGCAUCGCAAUGAAUUCCCCUGUUCUAGUUGAAUUUGACAUGAGGAUCAAGACAGGAGAUAAAGAAGAAGAUGAUCUAACAUUGAUCGACGGCGCAACAGAUUAUUGUAACCUAACCAUACCUUCUGUGUCAUUCACAAAUCGCAUUAAUGGCGAUUGUGGUGCGGUUGACAUCACUUUAGCACGCAUUUACAAUGCAGUGGAAGCCACAAUAGAUGUCCUCAUAUUGAAAGUGCAGAAUGGAUUCAAUUUAUCGCUCAGUUCGUUUGUGCUUGUCGGCGGAUCAGAUCAGGAAAUUCCGCUCUUUCGUGGCACUACUGCUGAGUCAUGUGGCUUAAGAAGAUACGUGAUUGCUGUAAAGAUGGAUACUUGGAUGCAGUUGAAGUUCAAGGUAAGUCAGAACGGCUCUAAAAAUGAUCAUCUUGAACGCAGUUGCUACUUCAAAGCAAACAUUCAUGGAUGUGCCUGUCAACAAAUAGUGCUUCAGCAUGCCGCCCUCUCUGUGAAGGUGACUUGGUCGACCGUGCCAGCAUAA